CCCUUAGAUGUUCUGGGCCGCACGCGCGCUACACUGAUGCAUUCAACGAGUCUAAAACCUGCUCUGAUAGGGGUGGGUAAUCUUUUGAAUGUGCAUCGUGAUUGGGAUAGAUGAUUGCAAUUUUUCAUCUUCAACGAGGAAUGCCUAGUAAACGCAAGUCAUCAGCUUGCAUUGAUUACGCCCCUGCCCUUUGUACACACCGCCCGUCGCUCCUACCGAUUGAAUGAUCCGAUGAAUAUCAUGGAUUGAGGAUGCAAGCAGGUUCGCCUGUCUUCAUCUUCGAGAAGUGAAGUAAAUCUUAUCAUUUAGAGGAAGGAGAAGUCGUAACA
rnacentral:rRNA from 1 species